UUUACAGUCUCGUCGGCGUAUCCUGUCUCAAGCAUUUAGCAAUGGGAUUGGAACCUGCGACGUGUGACUGUGACUGUCAUCUGAGUACUGAAAUUUGCUGCCACGCAUGAUCCUGAUUUGCCAGAAGAGCAUCUGUUUGGAGAUCAGAUGACAAAGUAUAAACAGCGUAAUGAAAUUGAAACUGUCAUGUGAAACAGUCUCAGUUUAGGAAGAUGACUUUAAAUAUAGCAUAUUCGAAUUUUGAUUUGAGAAAAAGACAUAAAUCCACAAUUUGACAAAUAUGAAUAUAUCAACUGCUUUCAGUUUUUCAAGAGAAAUAGAUUUUGUUACAGAAUCUAGUAUGUUUAGUUUGGAAUAAAUGUUCUUUUUAAAUGUGUCAGAUCUUGCAUGUUUACGUAGACCUGUAUUAAGGUCUUCCAUUUCUAAGGGAAGGCAUACUAAUGUUAAUGGUUAAGAUGAUAAAGCUCUGUCUUCAGCAGCAAAAGAUAUUAUAUAUGUAUUUUUACAGUAUUAUGGAAGGAAAGUUACUAUCUUGGCACAAACAACUACACCAUUAACAUAUGUGCAUUUUUCAGCACAAAGGACAUGUACAUGUUGUUUCAAACAUAAGAUCAAAGAGAUGUCAAAUUAUAUUUAAAAGUCAACAAAGUACUAAAUCUGUAUACAGUUUAACUCAUAUGAGCUAAUGCUGUAGUAAUUUUUUUUAAAUAAAAGUCACCCAUUAUCA